rnacentral:tRNA from 1 species
AGGGGUAUAGCUCAGUGGUAGAGCACAUGCUUAGCAUGCAUGAGGUCCUGGGUUCAAUCCCCAGUCCCUCCA